GGAGCUCAUAAAAACAUUUGGGAGGAAAGAAACCCUGGAGUUUUGAGCCUGGGUGUCAAGCAGGGGGAAGGGGGGAGGCCACCAAUAUGGUACCUGCUUUCGACGGAGCUCAUCAUUUUAGUGCGAAUAUUUGACCUCGCUUUGAUUCAGAAUUUCGAAAUUUGUUUGCCUUCGUUUCCUGGGCAAGGCAAAACCCUCCUCAUUCUUCAAUUUCCAUGAACACUACGGUACUCUCUCUCUCUCUCUCUCUCUCUCUCUCUCUCUCCGUGUUGGUCCUACAUAGAUUGUGAUAAAAAUGUACCGGUAUCUCAAUCAUAUAGGAAAAUCAAGAUUUGGAGCUUUCAUCUGGUACGUAAUUGCAGUGUUCCAUGGAUUAUUAGGGUUCUUGUAAUCAAGAAAUAGUUUUUUUAUUUUUUAUUUUCUGAAGUACUGCUUCCUCCUGCUUCAAGAUAUGGGUUUUGAUUUUCUUUCUUGUUAAUUUCAUAGGUUAUCAGCAAGAGCUAUUAACAAUGAGUGAUUCAGGUGUGUUAUGGUGUGUGUGUGUAUAUAUAUAUAUAUAUAUAUGUGUGUGUGUCUGUCUGUCUGUCUGUUUUUUUCCUUUUAAAAAAUUGCUAAUGGUUCUAAUGCUCAUCAGGUUCCUCCACAUUAAGUUAUGAGUCCCCAUCAAGCGAUGAGGAGCCAGAUGGGCGUGCUCUGGUGGGUGAUGGGAUUGGUUUUCCAGAGUCGAUCAAUUAUUUUGCACCGAGGUAAUUUUCCUUCAUGCCCCUAGGAAAUAAAAAACUCUUAACUUUUCCUUAAGAUGAGAUAAUAGUUUUAUGGCCUUAUACAUCUAAAGGGUUCUACCUAGCAACCCAAUGAAACAGUUCGAAUAAAUAUUUGGGGUAUCAAAAACUCUUAAAGUUUAAUUAUAAACUAACAUUACAGGGCAUCAAAAAAUCUUAAAAUUUUUAUAGGAUUCUACCUAACAAACCAAUCAAACAGUUUUCUGAGCAUUACCAAAAUUGUUUCCCAUUAGAUAAUGUAUGAGAUGUAUUAUUAUAUGUAACCCAAUUUCAAGAAACUCAUGAGGAACUUUCAGGAUAAAUAAGAGGACUCUAGUUGUACCUUUUUAAUCAGGUCAGUUUUCCUGAAUUGUUUAUGGAUGAUGCAAAUUUUCACAAAUCACUACACAAUGCACAUUAUGAAAUUAGUUCAAAUAAAAUAUUUGGUCUGUAUUUUUUCAAGCAUGUUUAUGCUUCUGAUGGUUAUUUCUGAUAAUUUCUGGUAUAACGAAUUUGGAACUGUCUUGAUGCCAAUAAAAACCUGAUUCCUCAAUUUGUGACUGUGACUUGCUUCUUUCAGCACCAACUACACACAUGCAGCCUGCCUGAUCUUAGCUGUAGAACGAUUGUACGAUGAAAUGAUUACUUCUUUCUCAAUUUCAAGAAACUUAUGAGGAACUUUCAAUAUCAAUAAUAGGACUCUAGUGUACCUUUUUAGUCAGCUCAGUUUUCUUGAAUUGUUUCUGGAUGAUGCAAAUUUUCACAAAUCACUACAAAAUGCACAUUAUGAAAUUAGUUCGAAUAAAAUAUUUGGUCUGUAUUCUUUAAGCAUGUUUGUGCCUCUGCUGGUUAUUUCUGAUAGUUUCUGGUAUAACGAACUUGUAACUGUCUUGAUGCCAAUUAAAACCUGAUUUUUUAAUUUGUGACUCUGACUUGCUUCUUUCAGCACCAACUACACACAUGCAGCCUGCCUGAACUUAGCUGUAGAACGAUUGUACGAUGAAAUGAUUACUUCUUUCUCAAUUUCAAGAAACUUGUGAGGAACUUUCAGGAUAAAUAAUAGGACUCUAGCUGUACCUUUUUAGGCAUCUCAUUUUUCCUGAAUUGUUUAUGGAUGAUGCAAAUUUUCACAAAUCACUAAAAAAUGCACAUUAUGAAAUUAGUUCAAAUAAAAUAUUUGGUCUGUAUUCUUCAAGCUUGUUUAUGCUUCUGCUGGUUAUUUCUGAUAGUUUCUGGUAUAACGAACUUGUAACUGUCUUGAUGCUAAUUAAAACUUGAUUCCUUAAUUUUGUGACUGUGGCUUGUUUCCUCAGCACCAACUACACACAUGCUGAUUACUUUUUUCUCAUAGAUGACAGUAACAACCUUUUAAUGUCUUCUUUUCUCUCACCCAGGACCUUACAGGCAGAUCAGGACCCCGCAGCUUUAAUUCCAGUCUAUCUCAUAAGGAGGCAUGUCGGUGACUUAAUUGGCAAUGUAGAUCGCCUUUUGCUGCGGGAUUACCAUAAUCUCAAGUAUGAGCUGAAGGUGAUUGCUUUUCAUAGGGGCAUCACUGGCCGGUUCUACAUUCGAUUCAAAAUAUGGUCAGACUUCUAGAUGGAACUCGGGUUUGCCUCCACAGAUUUAUUCGCCAACCACUAGAGGAAAUGACCGUUGAGGGAAUCUAUUUGGCAGAGGGCAGGUCAGCAAACUAUUCAUUUGAUAUUUAAGUGUUGUAAGUUCUUCAUUAAAAAAACUAAUUUAAAAAGGCUUACCAGUGACAUAGUUGAACCUAGCCUAGAUCAACACGAGCAAGUGUUGGACGAUGAUUUAGAUCCAGAGGAUGAUGAUUAUCCAGAGAAUGAUUAUCCAAAUCCAGAUCCAGAUGACGGAUGGUUUGAAGAUGAUGGAAGACGCGACCAUGAACUCUUGAGGUUAGCAUUAAUUAAAACGUAAGGUUAGAAAAUUGGGAUUAUUUAAAACACAAUGUAACCCACUGAUUUUAUCUGUUUUUCAGCUUUUAUCAAGAUGAGAUGGGAGUUGUGCUAUUGAUACCGGGACUGAAUAAUCCAAUUCAAAGACAAUUGGGUUGGGUCUUUAGGCGCACUUCCACUGCCCUUGAAAGUCUCAAUUCACAAAUCUGUUUUUGUGCGGCUCGAGCAAGGUUGCCAAGUGAGUACAGAAAGAUAUUCAAAGAUGGUGAUGGAGAUGGAGAUGAUUGUUUUGUGCCCGAAGAAGGUAAUGACGAGGAGUGGCAUGCAUUUGUAGAGAUGUUAAGUGAGAUUGAGCUCCACGCUACCAGGUGUGUAGAAAUAUGUUUAUUUAUUCUUUUUGUUUUUCAGUUUUAUUUGAUAUAAUAUAAUACAUAUCAGUUGAAAUACUGCUUACAACACAAGGUCUGAUGAUUCUUUAACAUGCCUCUGGUUAUUUAUAUGAAAAGCUAUGACAUGCCAGUUGUACAUUUGAACAAGUGUUUAUAUUUCUAAAUGAUUGACUAUGCAAAUCAUACAAUUAAUCCUUAGCAGACUUCAAUUAUAAUAGUGAAUAUCUAAUUAACAACUCAAUAAAAUGCAAUAAUAAAUGCAUAUUAAAGGCUCGUUGUUUGUCUUUGUUAGUUGAUUCUCUUGUCAAGACAGUUGUGUUUUUAAUUAUGUCAGUCAUGUUAGUGUGAGUUUGGGCUUUCCUGUUGCAUUGAUUUUUUUUAUUUUUUUUUGGAGGGGGCCGCGGCGGGGCUGCUAGAACAGAAAAGUUAGAAUAAAAUGGUCUAAAGAAAGUUUGUUUGCACAUCAAAGUUGGAUGAAUAGGAUUUUCUUCUUGUGAAAACAUUCGUGAUAUUGAUCUGUUUAGACGUUAAAACUUGUGCUUUGCCCUUCCUUAUGAAACUUUGUCUAUAGUUGAUCUUAUUCCUUAUUUCUCCUUACUUUGAUAUUUCAGGAUUGACGGAGAUUGAAAUUCAAGUUAGAGAAGUUCGGUUCGGAUGUACAAAUUAGUUGGGCCAUAGUUUUUUUGUUGUUGUCUCUGCUGGUAAAUUCAAAGAGGGACAAGUCUGGAGGGGAGUGUGCUGCUGAGGAAGGUAUCCCCAUUGAUGAGUCCAAUCCAAGUACAAAACCAAUAGCCGCUAAUAUGAUCAUUGAUCAUUGACUUCCAAGCUCAAAUGUCUGUGACUUUGUGGGAUUUUUUGGCUUCUAGUGUUUUUGCUUUAACUCGAGUUGUAGCUACUGUCUUUGUAUUUCCUAGUUGGUUGUAGUUUUCGUACUUCUUGUCCAAGUAUGUUGUUGGAUAAAAUAUCAUACCUUCAUGGCCGAAUAAGUCACGAAACAGGCGCUUCAAGAAUGCAUAAUCCGGGCGUUGAUCAAAUGUUAGAGUGGCAAUAAUGGAAAUAGGUGCGAACUCCACAGGAUGAGACUUACAUAGGACCUUGAAAACAGAUUUCACAAUCAGUUCAUUAUGACCCCCCCAAUUCGCAAGAUGCAAAACUAUCACCUAAUGGAAAGUGGCACAUACCUCAAUGGGAGUUGAUAGCUUCUUCUCACAAAUCUUAUCAUAUUUUUGCUUCUUCGUUGCAGCUUUAAGACCCUGCCAAAGAAGGCUAAAUGCAGAAACCAGUUAGUCAGGCCAUGAACUAAUAUAGUACUUUGUUAUCUGGUCAAAACAUUGUGCAAAC
rnacentral:lncRNA from 1 species